rnacentral:misc_RNA from 1 species
CAGAAAUGGCGUUACUUCACUUCACUUCACUAUUUUUAAGGCCAUAGAACUCAUCGAUUAUCAGCUCUCUCUUCUGCAACUCAACGCCAAUGGCUUCUCCCUCACUUUCAAAAUCCAAUUUCUCCCUUCACUCCUUCUCUUCUUCUCCAUCCUUGUCACAGUUCCCUCAUUUCACUUCCAUCACCGUUGUUCAACCCAAAUUCUUCCCUUCGCAGCUCACCUUCAAACGCUGUCAAAAUGCUCCUUCUUUCCCGAUUAUCAGAGCCCAAAACUCUCCAGAUUUCGUCCCUGAUGCGAAGUUUUACAAAGUUGAAGCAAUUCUAAGACCUUGGAGAAUUCAACAGGUUUCUUCGGCACUACUGAAAAUGGGCAUUCGUGGUGUCACUGUUUCGGAUGUUCGUGGUUUUGGCGCCCAAGGUGGCUUGACUGAGAGGCAAGCUGGCUCUGAAUUCUCUGAAGACACGUUUGUUGCAAAAGUUAAAAUGGAAAUUGUUGUCAGCAAAGACCAGGUUGAAGGAGUCAUUGCCAUGAUAAUUGAAGAGGCAAGAACUGGUGAAAUAGGUGAUGGAAAGAUAUUCUUGACUCCCAUCUCCGAUGUUAUAAGAGUUCGCACUGGUGAACGGGGAGAAAAGGCAGAGAGGAUGAUGGGAGGGCAUGCUGAUAUGUCCUCUGCAUUAUCAACUUCUUGAGUGGCAACGCCUCUAUCUUGAAGUUGAAACGUUUAAUCAUCUUUAGUUGUGUGCAGUCAAGUAGGGAACAAAAUAAAUAAGUUGGAGACUUACCAUGUACCUGUGGUUUCAGUAGCCAAUUUCCAUAAAAAUCGUAGCUUAACAGCCAUUUCGUAUAUGCACACUUCAGCUCAAUCGUGGUAACUUUGCCCCCUCCCCCCGUUUUGGGUGAAGUUGUGCUGUAAUAUGUUGGUCGAUCACUGUGGAUAUUGAAUGAUAAGCUAUUCAAGCAAUUUCCUAAAUG